CCACAUAAUGUAAGAUCUCUUCAAUUGCACAUGAAUAAAAAAAAAAGGAAAGAAACAUCUCAAUAGCCCAAAACUAUAUAAUCUAACGUGAGACACUACUAGAGACCAAAUAGUUGCUGAGACAACAGUCCUUGUAACCCAAGGGCUAAACAACAGUCCAAGAAGGUGACGUCAAAUAUUUCACAAGUUGCAUUUGGUUCUAGGAAUUAGCCUUGUUGCGGUGGAGUGACAAGUCUUGCAACUCAUAAAAAUAAAAAAAGUAUAAUUGUUGCAACACUGUUGUAAUGUCAGCACAAUUAAAGUAAUUUAACUAAACAAAUACUGACUGCAUUGAAAGGACUCAACACUGGUUCCCAAAUGUAUUCUGUAGACCCAGUUUCUAAAGUUACACCUUAGUGACCCAGUUAAAAACAUGUUGCUAAGAACAAAUUGUGAUGUUAGUGUCAUUUCAAAAACAAUGAGUGUAGUAGAUUAGAAUAUAAAGAUAAAUUAACCCAACAAACUUAAGAGGUGCUGGGACAGAACAAGUAGAGGCCAUGCUACUGCAAUGGAGCUUAUAAAUAGCAUUAAUAUUUUUAGACUACAUCGCAAUUUACUAACUAUAUCUUGAUACAGAUCUCAAGAAAACACCUGAAAGAACGUUCCCUUGACCUUUAUAAAACUUGUGAUUCCCACUUAUAACAGCAGAUUUUAAAUCUGCAUGUAACAUGGUUUAAAUCAAUUAACAAAUACAUUAUGGAUUCCUUUACUCUAACUUAUUAAAGUUGCGAUUGCCGUUUGAACCAUUUUAAACUAGUUAUUAAACGGUCUUUUUUUUCUCUACCGACAUAAAAAGUAAAAUCGAGGAAUUUGUCAAUUUUUAAAUUGUUUAACUGACAACUGGGGUCUGGAGAGCAGAACAUUGAUAGAAAAUUGCAUUUUAAAUUAACUUAAAGUGUGGUUUCAAUGUAAUAAAAUUAGCAAUUUUGUUCUGGCCUGAAACCAAUCAAAUCAACGUCAAUUCACGUGGGUAUAAAAGGGUAUCGGGGAGGUUGUGAUCCGGCUGCAGGGAGCAUGCCAUGCGGACAAAGGACACGCCGUGCCCACAGUUGCGGUGCCAUCCACGCCUUAGAUCGGCCUACACACGCUCAGUACCAGCUACGGCGCCUCAAAUAACAGGAUUGGAUUCUGCUUCGUCACCAUCUAACGUCCAACCUUGGUAUCCCAUGGGAAAGGUUUGUACCUAAAAGGGUAACGUACUUUUUAAAAUACAUUCCUGAGACUAACACACACUCACAUUUCAACUUGAUAGAAACUAAGAUGAUUUUGAUGAUUAUGUUUGUGAGUUUUUAGCCUUCAAACUAAUAAUUACAUUAACCUUACAUUUCUCAAAGCCCAUUUUCUUCCUGUGGAGCCUCAGUAUUAAAGGGAAAAAACAGACCUUUUUUUCCAUCUGUGUUUGAGAGGAGUUACUCCAGGCUUUGUGGAUGAGGCUCAGCUGUUGUUACACAUUCUUGAGUCUGGAGGAACGGGUGGGGAUGGUAACAGGGUGCUCCGACUCUCCCUUUCCCCAGGGGAGUGUAAGCACAGAAACACACCCAGUUACACCACUUUUACAUUGUACUUUUUUUUACUUUGGAUUUUAUUAAAUUUUUAUAUUUUUACAUUGUUGUUUUUCACUGCGGUCCAGCUGUUGAUUGAAUUUGCAAAAGGUUUUGGUUUGAAGUGUUGCAGUUAUUGUGCACAAUUCUGUCUUACCUACACCUGAAGUGCAGUUAGUUUCAGUGUCUUUUUAAAUUUUAAUUCUGCCUGCAAUUCAAAUCUGCAGCAACAUGUACCUACCACACGAGGCAGCAGUAAACCAGCAGCUUUGUGUUUUCAGCCGGAUAUUGUGAUCUUACAGCUGAAGUAACAUUUUUUAAACAUUCAAAAAACCUUUAAGAAUUAAAUAAAGCUUUAUUAUUAUUAUUAUUUUCAUGUGCCAAAUUUGUGAAGGUUCAUGUUGAAUGUUAUCAACAUCCAACUGAGGAGGAGACCUGAGUUUCUUAUCAAGAUACUCCAUUCAUUUUCAAAGGACCAGUACGACCCUGUUCUAUUGCCUUACAGUGCCAGUGGAGUCGUUCUGAUCCCUGCUCUGAUUAAAGAGUUUGCAAAAGAAAAAGGAGAAACAAACGCAGAUAUGAACGUAUGCAGAGAUUCCCAGAGAUUCUUUUAUUUGUGGCAAUUUUUUUUUUUUUUUUUGCUGGUUUUCUCAGUGUCAGUAGAAACAAAGUUAGUCUUGAGGAAAAACUCAGCCUGCGAGAUUUCCCCACUUUUCUCUCCAAUUUUACAUCAUCCUUUAAUGAUUCAAGAUAUUAUCACACGUGCGUCUCGGUGCCUGAGUGUUUUCUUGUAGCAGUGACAGUUUUCUUGUAGCAGUAGUCAGACAAAAAAAAAAACACA